GAGAGGACACACCUCAAACAAUCUCAGGGCUUUGGCCAGUGCCCCUACUUCCUCCUUCAGGGAGAAAAUGCAGGAGAGCACCCCUGCCUUGGUGGCCUGCUCCUCCAGGUACAUGGAGCCCUGCAGGAAGAAACAGAGAGGAGAGUCUUCAAGACUGUACCAACACAUUCACGGGGGGAGCUCACCCUGGAAAAACGCACAGAAAAAGUGCAAAUAGGUACGAAGCCCUGGGUGCUUGAGAGUGAUUGGCUCAGAGGUAGUGCACUCUCCCUCGCCUGGUUAUGGUGCGAUUACAUGCAGACCUGUCCAGGAGUCUCUCUCCUAAGAGGAACCUGAUGCACUGUGGUGACCUUCUGCCCCCGCCUUCUGCCAGAAACUACAAACAGUGCGCUGCAAGAGAAGACCAUGGUGUGUGAGUCGGUGCCCAAGAAUUGCCCCCGGCUCGGUCUCCUGGUUAUCCGAAAGGACCGUCUCCGCCUGGCGCAGCAACGCCGCCCGGCCAGCACGGUCAGAUCAGCACCUCGGAAAGCGCUCAUCGCUCUCAGGUUUCACUCUGGCAAAAGAGAGGCCCUCCAGGAAGCCUCUCUUCUCUCCGGCCCCUCCAGGAAGCCUCUCUUCUCUCCGG